GCGUGAUCUUAUCUAAAUCAAACGCCAACGUGUGAUGAAGGUGUCUAAUGUGGCAAUAGUUCGUUUUUCAAAUUAAGUCACACAUGUCGAUGGAACAUCGACCAAAGCUGGUACUGACUUGGUAGGAGUGAUCUUUCUUGGUAAAUUCCACAUCCACAAGUCAAACUGGUCCAACUCUAAAACCCUGGUUUGUCGAUUUUCUGCUGAACAAAAGUGAAGAACAAAAAGCUACAGAGACCUUCAGUAUUUUAAAGGAAAUUUACUUCAUCUGACCACUUGAAGGACAAAAUUAAUGAACUUUGGACUCAUCUGACCUGUUCAACGUUGGGUUGCAUUAUUGUGUGGCAAUUAUUUGAUACCUCUUUGCUGUAAAAAAAAAAAAAUAACAAAGCUCGGAUUGUACUAUUGUUCAACAUUAUGAAAUAGUUUUAUCAGACCUAUUAAUUGUAUAAAAAAACAGAAAACUUCACAUACUGUUAGUACAUUAGUGUUCAACAUUAACUGAGAGUUCAUGCUUUUGAAAAAUAAAACCAUGAUCAAUCAACCCCAUAAAAA